rnacentral:tRNA from 1 species
GGCCUAAUGGCCCAAUGGCAAGGCGCUUGACUACGAUUCACCCAAUCUGACAUCAAGAGAUUCCAGGUUCGACCCCUGGUUAGGUCA